rnacentral:rRNA from 1 species
UACGUAGGGGGCUAGCGUUGUCCGGAAUCAUUGGGCGUAAAGAGCGUGUAGGCGGUCCGGUAAGUCCGCUGUGAAAGUCGGGGGCUCAACCCUCGAAUGCCGGUGGAUACUGUCGGGCUAGAGUGCGGAAGAGGCGAGUGGAAUUCCUGGUGUAGCGGUGAAAUGCGCAGAUAUCAGGAGGAACACCAGUGGCGAAGGCGGCUGACUGGAUCGCAACUGACACUGAGGAACGAAAGCUAGGGGAGCAAACAGG